GUGUUUUUCUCGCUGUGUUGGUGGAUCAUGACGAGAGGUCAUAAUUGGAAUAUUCUGAAGAAUUUAGCGAUAUUCGUACUGAUAUACACGUUCAAAUGUGGUUCUCUGAGACAUUCCAUUGCAGCUAAACCACCGAAAUAUUUAGAAUCUCGCCCCAGAUGGUCAGCGUCACAUCCGGCGAGCUUACGAGGACACCCUGAAUCAAGCACAAGCGAUCCGAAGGAAGGCGUCUGUAUAUCUUCUGAGACUCACCACACGCACCGAGAUAAAGGAAUAUUGCGAAUACCUUCAGUGCAACGUCCCGAACAACACUUUCGGCAUUCUAAACCUCGUCAUUCACAUGGGGAGAAGGGCCGUAAAUAUCAGCAGUACUCUGCA